rnacentral:tRNA from 1 species
UCCCUGGUGGCUUAGUGGUAAAGCAUCCAUCUGCCACAUCAGGACACACAGGUUCGACCCCUGAUCUGGGAA